GCAGCCCGAUGGUGAUGGUCACCUGUGUGGGGAGAGGAGACUUAGUGGAGAUCUGGGAGAAGUAGCUGGGGCAGGGGUUACCAGGAAACCAUGGCAGCCACCAGCCUGCUCAUCCUGGGAGCCCUUCAAACAAGGUACUGUUGGGGCUGGGUUGGCGAGGCCCUGCCCGCCCCAGCCAGGCCUGGGUGCUCGCGAUCUGCCUGUGCUCCAGCCUCAUCUCAGACCCCAUUCUCCUCCCUUUCCAGUCACCCUGGGUUUCUUUGGAUCCUGCCCACACCCAGCCUUUCUCCUCUCCAGUUUUACCAUUUGCUGUUUUCUCUACUUAGAACAUUAUGGGUGCCCCUGCACCUGAAUUCUCCCCUCUUUGCCCUCAGGUCUCCCCCUUCCUGGGGGCAUUAAUCCUGGGCUCCUUCUCUCUGUGUCCACCCCCACCCCCACCCCGUUCCUGGCACGUUGCUAGGCACGUAGCAGGUGCUCAGCAACUAUUUGCUGGACAGAAUUAGAAAGUCCUCUCCUUUUCUGCAAACAAUAGUGAUAUACGGUUUCCCUCUACUUGUGUUAUUGUGAUACUAGAGCAUGAGUGGGUGAUUUGUUUGGAUUUGCUCACUGGAAGUCACUGCAGCAGACUCUGGUGCCAGAAUGCCUGGGUUCAAACCUCAGCCCUGGCACUUAGCCAGCCAUGUGACCAGGAAACCUCAGUUUACUCAUCUGGUUUGCAGAUUUUCAGAUGAAGUACUGCCUGCUCCAUGGGCAUGCUGUGAUGCUUACAUAUGUGUAGAGCAUGGUACCUGGUGCACAGCAGGGAUGAAUAGGAAUAUCAGCUGUAGUUGGUUAUUAGUGAGCAUGACUCUGCCUCAAGGAGCUGGUGACUAAUAAAUCAUCACGAAUAUGCUUGCGUUUGCCUUAAUGUGAAAAGAAGGCCUUCCUCCCCAUCUCACCCCCUCAACAGGCAGUACAGUUCUUCUGGUGUGAUGUGGUAAGUUAGAAGUGGUGCGUCUCAGCUGAGAGCCCAGCUAUGUGUGAAUUUCCAUAGCACUAAAGAUUGACUUAUUUAAGGGAACCUUUCAGUGAAUCUUCUCUGAUGGACAAAGUUUCCCCACCUAAUGUUUCUGGUUUUGUACAUUUAGGUUUUGGAGUUUGGGUUUCUGCUGUCAGCUCAAAGCAUGAGCCCAUGAGUCACACUCUGUGCCACCUUGGUUUACCCCUCGCUGACAGUGGGCUCUCGUUCAGCACCCAGGACAGCGCCCAGCACUCGUAGGUUUUUGAGAAACUAUUUCUUCAGUAAAUGAAUGAAUGAGGGCUUGCUAUAUCCCAAGACCUGCAGCUACAGAGAGGAAUUAAACCUAAUAGAUGAGAUAAGAUGAACCUACAAAUAAUUAGAAUACCAGGUAAAUUGCUACCAGAAUCUCAAGAGAAGCACAAAUCAUUGACUGAACACUUUGAUGUGCCUGUAUCUCCUGUUGCCUCCCAAUAGUUCCAAAGCUAAAUGCUGGCAG